rnacentral:rRNA from 1 species
GACGAACGCUGGCGGCGUGCUUAACACAUGCAAGUCGAACGAAGUGGCGAACGGGUGAGUAACGCGUACUCAACCUGCCCUUCAGAGGGGGACAACAGUUGGAAACGACUGCUAAUACCGCAUACGGAAGGAGGGGAUUGCGUCUGAUUUGCUAGUUGGAGGGGUAACGGCCCACCAAGGCGAAGAUCAGUAGGCGGGCUGAGAGGAUGAACGGGCAAAUCGGGAAUGAGACACGGCCCAGACUCCCUCGGGAGGGAGCAGUGGGGAAUCUUCCGCAAUGGACGAAAGUCUGACGGAGCCACGCCGCGGGAGUGAUGACGGCCUUUGGGUUGUAAAGCUCUGUUAAUCGGGACGCGGUACCGGAAUAGAAAGCCACGGCUAACUACGUGCCAGCAGCCGCGGUAAUUC